UUGAUUUCCAUCAAUGACAGACUUCUGCAGGUUUCACUUUAAAAGCAGCGCUGUUUCUUUAAAACCGGACACACGUCCGAUUUUCUCCAAACUCUUUACAGUCAUUUAAGACUUUGUAACUCAGUUAAGACUACGUUUACGAGGUAACUCGCCAAAACCGUGAAUUCUGACAUAAUUGUGUGUGUUUUUGUCAGUUGAAGCGCUACUGGCAGUCUGUCUGAAGCGUCUCAGCGUAUAUGUACAGCGCGCGCGCAGCAUUUCAAACUAUACUUCAUUUGAUAAUAAUUUUGCGCUAUUUCUCGCCAGACGUUAUGACCGAUAACACUGUCUUUAUACUCGGUUAAACUAGAGUUGUGGAUAUCUCAAAUGUCCCUCAUAAACGCUUGUCAACGCUGCCCUCUAUUGAUAUUGCGGUCUCCGUAAAUUGUUGUGGUUGCGUCUCUUUCUUUUCUUUUUCGGAUGGCCCGGGCCAGUGUUGCCACCUUGUGGACAACAAUUCAAGGCAUAUAUGCCACCUGCGCAUACUUCUCCCUCGGGCCGGAUAAAGAUGACUGGGGCUGCCAGCUGACUAGCCCUUCAAUAUGGCAUCAAAGGAGGACUGCUCCAUGGGGACAGAUAGGAAACCCUUUGACAUAAGAUUUUUAUUUGUGAUGUAUAAGGUUGCUCAUCAUAUGUGUACAUUUUUUAUUGUGACAGUUCCUGUUUUGUUUGACAAACAGGGAAUACAAUGCAAAGAAGAAUAUUGCUGGCCCACUUUGGCUGAAUGUGUUAAAGUGGGCCAGUGGAAAUCACAAAACGGCAAUUAGGAAAAUGAAGUCAGAGAUGGAAGAAAGGAAAGAAAGAAUAGAAAGGAAGGUGAGGCAAGAAGUUCAGUCUAUGGAGUUAAAAAAGGAUGAGCAGAGCGAAAUGUAGAUGCAGAAUAUAAUAUUUAAAAUUGGACACAUUAAAGUACAUUUAAAGUGUUUAGAGAACAUAUGUUUUUAAUUAAGAUACAGGAUCAUUUUUGAUCAUUUUCAGCUGGCCCACUUUACCUGAAAACAAAUUUGUCUGGAGUGCAUGAUCUCAAAAAGUUUACCUUGCAAAUAACACAUUAUAUAAACUGUUCAAACUGAAAUAUUAUAGCUGUACCUUAAAGUUAACAACAGUAAAGAAAAACCCAUCUAGGCAGCUAAAUUAUAAGUUUUACAAAAACUGGCCCACAUUACCUAAAUUCACCUUAUUAUUUUCAGUUCACUUAGUAUUUUCAGUUAUUUUGUUGUUGUUACUUUCCUUUUACAGAACUUUGGGAUACAUUAGUGGUAGGGCUAUUAGAAAUGUGACCUUAACUAUUCAACUACUGUCCCUCAGUACUACUAUUUGUUACAGUAAUUUUUGUAAAAACUUUCUUUUGUUUUAAUCUUUUGAACAACUAUCAAAACAUUUGUUUCUUCGUCUACUAUAGUUAUUUGAGUCUAUGACUCAAAUGUGGACUUUCUAAGCAACACUUUUAAAAACAAGUAUGUUGUAGCCAUAUUUGAAAAUAUAACAGAAAUAGGCCUAAUUAUUCAAGCAAUAUGACUGCACCUAUACUGCUACUUGUGCUUCCUGUUCCACAAGAAGUAAUGAUAUUUAUUGGUCAGCAGAUGGCGCCACACCAUUGAACAAUAUUUUUUAGCAUGCACAUGCACACUAAGAGGUAACCACUUUAUUUAAAAAUCUACAUUUUUAUUUAUAUUUAUUUAUGUUUAUUUAAUCAAACAUAUUGGAUAGUGACAGAUAAUAUUAAAUCAGAUAGCAAGACAUUUAUACAGAAAAUAAGGUUAAAAUGUAAUGCAGCGUAAUCAGGUCAUGUAUUUAGCUCAAUGCAUAUUGAAACACACAUGCUGCAUACUGUUCACAUAGGCCUACAACAUUUAAAGAACCACUGAAGCGAUACUGUGCAAUGUAGGCCUAAGUGUUAUAUUGUAAACACAACCAAAACCUUCCUACAUAGUGAUAACAUCCUUUGACAUGCAGUUUGUGCUAAUUUACCAAAAACGUGAAAGCAUAGGCAACUAGUUGAAUCUUUGAACUGAAGUUCACUCAACAACCUAUACGCUGCCAAUUGAAUUUCUUAAGAGAUUGUUUCCGAAAAAAAUAGGCCUAAUAAUUCAUUGAUAUUUUUCUGAGACGACCAAUCACCUGAGAAGAGAUGAUGCCAACCCCUCUUAGGUACCAACCCCGUAGUGUUAAGGACUUUUAGAGUAAAGUGUUAAAGUUGUGGUGUUCAACUUUAGGGGAUUAACACUAGCUAGUGUAAACAGCACCCUCUGGCCGGUGUAAAUACGCAGAGAAACUCGUAUAACACUCUGUUGAGUGUUAUUAGUCACAUCCGGGACAUUUGCUCGUGUGCGCGCUUGACCCAUCUGGAAUAUUUUUCACAGACGCCAUUUUCUUAGACUCGCGAUGCGGAGCAUAUGAGGACGGAAAACAGCUAAAUUAAGUGUUUAAUCUUAAUCACAAUAUGUGUUUUGUAAUAUCAUAUCGUUUUAUAGCGAUAUUUAUGAGGUGUGUGCGCCUAAACUUUUUUUUAAAGACAUUUCUUCCACUCGCGAGGCGGACCAGACGAGGACGUUUCUUUUUAAAAGGGACACGCCGAAAGUUAAGUGUUUUAUCUCAUUUAUAUGUAUUUCACAACAUCAUAUUGAUUUAUAGCGAUAUUUGUGUGAUGUGCACUCCUAAACUUUUCCUCAGGAAAUUGGUUUUAUCAUGGAAAACACCGAACAUGCAUUUGAAUGGCUAUGCACUGACGCGGAAGCCACUUUUAACAGGGGAAACAUAAGAAAGAGACAUUUUCUUUCACUGGCAAUGCGGAGCAGACGGGGAAGUUGGUCUUCUCAAGGAAAACACUGAAUGGUUCAUGCUGGCUUAACAGAAAAAUCGAAAGGAGAUGAUGUGCUUGAAGAGUAUGGAGACACCAAUACAUUAAGUGGGAUGAGAAGAGCUUUGUUAGGACCAUCGACUGUAAAAAAGAUGGACGACGCGUCUCCGCUUCCUUCCAUUAUAGAAAAGUGAAGCGAAUACAUCUCAGUAUGGCCGCUGCCAUCUUGAGUAAAUGACGUCAUUUGGAGCCCGAGUCUGCGCAGUAGAGUCGUGAGGUGGAGCCGUGGAAUCAAACUCCCGCAGACCCAAUCAACCAUAACGACACGCCCCGUUUUUAUAGCAUCAAAUUACUGGCUAAAAUCAAACUUAUCACAAAAACGAACAAUUGAACAUAUAUCAGCGUGAUAACAACUACCUUAAAUUACUAAAACCAUAUUUUCGGAAAAUUGUAUUGGAAGUGUAAUUAAUUUUUUUUAUUUUGACUGAAGUCCCAUUCGUUUACAUGGAGAGGGCGGGGUUUAUGACCUGUACUGCAGCCAGCCACCAGGGGGCGAUCAAAGAGCCUGCAGCUUCACUUUUAAGGACGAGUGAGACACACCCGGUUAGGACACAUACCAGAAACAUUGGAGCACUUUUGUGAUGCUGCAAGUGGGAGUUGGGUAUCUUGCUUGGCUGAAAACUGCAGAGAAACACAUCUCGUCUUGCUGAAAACUACUCUUUACAAGGAGGUCCAAACACCAUUAGCAGAGACUUUGUUCAGUUAGCAUUAACAUGCAUUCUGCCUGGAUGCUAAUGAAUGGGAUGCUGUUGUUUAAGCUGAUAAAUGUAAGCAUUAUAAACCUCGUGACAUUAAGUGUACAUAUGGACCAAAUAAGAAUAUGUAUUUUGUGCCUUUGCACUGAUUUGCUUUGACAUUAUGAUGUUUUAAUUGUUGUAAGAACAUGUUCUUUACAUGCAUUGAAAACAUUGAAUGUGAAAACAUUUUUCUCAGGGAAAAAGAUUUACAAUGUUUCAAUUAAAAAUUAAUAAUUGUAAAUGGUGACAAAUCUCCCAACAUAUUUUUGCUGUGCAUAAUUACCAAAUUUUGCGAUAAGUUAAAUAUAUUAAGUUACUAAAAUAUAGGGGUGUGCCAUAUAUCGUCUGCGAUAAUAUCGUAAUUGUUGUUUUAGCGAUGUGCAAUUUGACAUUAUCGAGUAUUUUGCAAAAACCAAACAACACACCCCUACAGAGUGCACGCAUUCAUUAAGUGAAGUCUAGCCUAGAGCGCGUGCGCAUUCUUUCACUGCAUGAUUCAGUCUAUUAAAAUGCAUUAU